rnacentral:rRNA from 1 species
AGUGAACGCUGGCGGUAGGCCUAACACAUGCAAGUCGAACGGCAGCACAGUAAGAGCUUGCUCUUACGGGUGGCGAGUGGCGGACGGGUGAGGAAUACAUCGGAAUCUACUUUUUUGUGGGGGACAACGUAGGGAAACUUACGCUAAUACCGCAUACGACCUACGGGUGAAAGCAGGGGAUCUUCGGACCUUGCGCGAUUGAAUGAGCCGAUGUCGGAUUAGCUAGUUGGCGGGGUAAAGGCCCACCAAGGCGACGAUCCGUAGCUGGUCUGAGAGGAUGAUCAGCCACACUGGAACUGAGACACGGUCCAGACUCCUACGGGAGGCAGCAGUGGGGAAUAUUGGACAAUGGGCGCAAGCCUGAUCCAGCCAUACCGCGUGGGUGAAGAAGGCCUUCGGGUUGUAAAGCCCUUUUGUUGGGAAAGAAAAGCAGCAGGUUAAUACCCCGCUGUUCUGACGGUACCCAAAGAAUAAGCACCGGCUAACUUCGUG